CGCCCCCCGCCCCGCCCCCCGCGCCGGCCCGGGGUCACUGCGAGCGGGGACCCCAGCCGCCGGUCCUGCAGCCCACGCGGACGGCAGCCUCGCCCACCCUAACAAGUCACGUGACACGUGGAGCCAGGACCAGACCUGUGCAUAGACACGUUCUAAAAGUGGAAGAAACGGGGGACGUUUAACGUGGAGGAAAACUUGAUGUUUGCAAAUCUUUAAAAGGAUAAAUUGCAAAUGAAUCAGAAACCUGAACGUAAAAAAAAAAUGAACACAAGUACUAGGAGAGACAUGGGUGAAUUUCUCGAUGUAUUACGAGUGAGCAAAACCUUCCUAGGUCUCAAAAUCCAAGAGAAGAGAUUUGCAAACAACUGCUUAAAAAAUGUCUAGCCCCUGCACACAGAAAAAAAAAAGAAAAAGCAAAAUGUCAAAAAGUUUGACAGUGACAACUGGAGAAAAAAA